rnacentral:rRNA from 1 species
UACAUGGGGUGCAAACGUUGCUCGGAAUUAUUGGGCGUAAAGCGCACGUAGGCGGUUCGUUAAGUCGGAUGUGAAAGCCCUCGGCUCAACUGAGGAAGUGCACCCGAAACUGGCGAGCUUGAGUACGAAAGAGGAUCGCGGAAUUCCCGGUGUAGAGGUGAAAUUCGUAGAUAUCGGGAGGAACACCAGUGGCGAAGGCGGCUACCUGGCACAUAACUGACGCUGAUACGCGAAAGCGUGGGGAGCGAACCGGG